AUUGAACGCUGGCGGCAGGCCUAACACAUGCAAGUCGAGCGAACAGAUGAGAAGCUUGCUUCUCUGAUGUUAGCGGCGGACGGGUGAGUAACACGUGGGUAACCUACCUAUAAGACUGGGAUAACUCCGGGAAACCGGGGCUAAUACCGGAUAAUAUUUUGAACCGCAUGGUUCAAUAGUGAAAGACGGUUUCGGCUGUCACUUAUAGAUGGACCCGCGCCGUAUUAGCUAGCUGGUAAGGUAACGGCUUACCAAGGCGACGAUACGUAGCCGACCUGAGAGGGUGAUCGGCCACACUGGAACUGAGAGACGGUCCAGACUCCUAGGGGAGGCAGCAGUAGGGAAUCUUCCGCAAUGGGCGAAAGCCUGACGGAGCAACGCCGCGUGAGUGAUGAAGGUCUUCGGAUCGUAAAACUCUGUUGUUAGGGAAGAACAAAUUUGUUAGUAACUGAACAAGUCUUGACGGUACCUAACCAGAAAGCCACGGCUAACUACGUGCCAGCAGCCGCCGUAA
rnacentral:rRNA from 1 species